CUGGCCGACUCCGCACUCGUCCGUUCGUGGCCCACCGUGGUGGUCACCAAAUUGAGGGCUUCCUGGAAGGACCUCCUCACGGUACCCAUCCACUGGGUCAUGUGGGUCUGAGCCACCGUGAGUUUAUCUCCCAGCUGUCUCUCCCUCCCUCUCUGGAAGGCAACACUGAUCCAGGAUCUCACUCUGUUGCCCAGGCUGGACUGCAGUGGCAUGAUCACAGCUCACUGCAGCCUUGGCCUCCCAGGCUCAAGCGAUCCUCCCAUCUCAGCCUCCUGAGUAGCUAGGACUACAGGUGGAGCAACAGCAUCAGUCAGAAGGCAGCGGAUGGCACAGGGCUUCCGCGUAAGGCCUGCAUCGCCUGAGUCAUGGUUUUCUCAUCUUGUAUGAGGCCCACCCCCUUCAAAACGUUGUGACAAAAAAAACAACUGAGAUAAUUUGUGCCGCUGGCACAUAGUUAACACUCAAUAAGGCCGGGCACAGUGGCUUACACCUCUAAUCCCAGCACUUUGGGAGGCUGAGGCAGGUGGAUCACUUGAGGCCAGGAGUUCGAUACCAGCCUGACCAACAUGGUGAAACCCCAUCUCAACUAAAAAUACAAAAAUUAGCCAGGCAUGGUGGUGUGCACCUGUAGUCCCAGCUACUUGGGAGCCUGAGGCAGGAGCAUCUCUUGAACCCGGGAGGUGGAGGUUGCAGUGAGCGGAGAUCGCACCACUGCACUCCAGCCUGGGUGACAGAACAAGACUCUGUCUCAAAACAACAACAACAACAAAAUAAUAAAUGGUGACCACAAGGGAUGAUCGUUUUUCUAUUAUAAUUCCUAUCAUCUCACUGUUCAAAUGAAUCACAGGACCCUAGACAGUCAGAAUCAGGACACGAGCAGGGACCAACCUAGGCCAACCUUCCCACUAAACUGAAGAAACAGGCCCAGACCGAGGGCUGCCCUAAGGCCUCACAGUCCAUCUGCAGCAGGCGCCCUCUCUGAUAUCUCCUAGGAAAUGUGCACGAUCUGAACUUUGACAGCGUCUGCAACCUCACAUAUUACCUGUUUCCCAGCUUCUUUCUACCCUGAACAAACUGGACAGAUGUUAAUCCUGGAAUGUGCCAUGACAUCUCUGGUUCAGCCUUUUGCAUAUGCUGUUCCCUCUGGCUAAGACACCUUUCCACCCCUUCCUCACCUGGCCAGCAUCUAGUCCACCACAGCUCAGCUUAGAUACUCCCGCCUCUGAGACACCUCCCCUGUUUCCUUAUAUCCAUGGGGGCAGGGGGCACCUCUGGGGUCCCACCCUGCCUAUGUAACCCCUACCGAAUCACACAGUUUACCUGGCC